UCUCUCUGCAAUCUCUUUAUCUCCUUCUCUCACUUCGUCUCUCUCAUGUACAAACAGGUGGUUGAUUGAUUGACAUUGGCUAUACCAUCGAACGAAGUCAUUUAGCUAUCACUUCUUCAAAAUAUGGCCGCUCAGUGCUGCUGGUAUGUAAAGAUACGGGUGACCGAAAACAUUCACUUGAUUGCUUUUCAAUGGAUAUAGUAUGUACAUAGGAAAGAUUACGUGAAAAUGUGGAUGUAGCCUUCCAAUUUCUUCACGUGAACUAUGUCCUUAUUGUGUGUAUGUGUUAAAAAAGCAAGGCUAAUUGGAAAUGCUGGAGGUGAGAGAUAUAACACUUAUGUGACACUGAAACUUCAAAAUGUGAAAUCGACGACAAUUCAAGUUAAAGGAAAUAAUCCUAGCUGGGAGCAAGAUUU
rnacentral:lncRNA from 1 species